UAACCUGCUAACUCUAGUCACCAUGUUUUGCUCUAAAACAUACAUGGACCAAACCCUAGACGUCGCUCGCCGAAAAUCAUUUCACCGCGACGGUUGGUCUUCAAACACCUCCAAAUUUUCACCAUACAAUCACUGUUCCCCCGUCUUUCUGAAUUUAUAAUUGGUUUCCCUUAAAUCCCCACGGAACCUUUCCUAUUUCAGAUCUGAGAAUCAAAAAAGAAGGUCUAGUUUCGCAUGUUCGUGGUUCCUGCAAUUCCAGUGCUCGUUUGGUUCAAAACUCACCCCAAAGAGAUUGUUCUUGACAAGAACAAUCAUUUGGGAUCAGUUUCAAUCCAUUUAAAAAUUAACCAGAGCCUGGAUUCAGCUCGUCCUUUUCAUUGGGUAUUUCCUAGUCUUUCUUGUUUUGUUUGUCCUUAGAUAAAAUUAAAAAAGAAAAGAAGAACCAGUGAUUAUUUUUUCUGUUCAAUUAUUGUUUGUUUGUAUUGUUCUUUUCUUCUUUGAUUAAUUAACAAGACAAUUUGUAGCUCAUUAGUAUUAGUUCAACCCGAGUUUGUAACUGUUUAGGACAUAUUCUUUAUGGUAUUUUCUUUUCUUGGUUUUGUUCUUCCUUUUCUUUAUUUUUCAUAAUUGGUGUUUAAUUUGCAUGCUUAAGGGUAUAUACAGUGUUUUAUGUUGUUGUUAUUUGUUUGACUUGUUUGCCUAUGCUAGUCAUCAAACCUGAUCGUUUCUAAAGAGUCCUUGUGAAGUUCAUCAUGAACUUGGUUCAUUUUAAGUUUUAGGUUUAUUUUUAGGUUUUCAGAUGUUUAUAUUUUAACUACAAUGUUUAGCUUCGUUUUUUGCUAUUUUAUUUGUCCAUUGAUAUUGGCUUGCUUGUUUUUGUUUGCCUUAAUUUGUAAGUUAGUAGGAACUUAUAGGGGUUAAUUGAACAGUAAAGAAAAUUUAAUAUGGUUGUUUGAAGGGUGGGUAAAUAGGGAAUUCAGAUAAGGCCAUUUAGAAGGUUCUAAUACAUGGGCGACUUGCCCUAUUUGGCUAGUACAAAAUGUUGAAACCAAUUAGAGACAGCCAACUGUUCAAUUCUGUUAAAAAGAUGCUCUUUGAGGGUUGCUUUCAAAGAGAAAAAUCCAGAGUUGGAGAGCACAUAACAAUCCUUUUGGAGUAUAAAUAGAACAUUUUCUUCACUCAUUAGGCAGAGAUUUCAGACCUUAAAAAAGGCUCCAAAAAUUUCAGCUAUUGUUUCAUUGGUAGCUGGUUCUACUCUCUUCUGAUUUUCAUUAGCAAAAACUUAGAAAACUAUUCUCUAGGAUUUCUGGUUUGGUGAUUUGAGCAUGGAUUAAGCUGAAGUUGUGUACUGUUGUUACCAACUAUUCAAUUCUGUUAAAAAGAUGCUCUUUGAGGGUUGCUUUCAAAGAGAAUAAUCCCUAAGUUGGAGAGCACAUAACAACCCUCUUGGAGUAUAAAUAGAACCUCUUCUUCACUCAUUAGGCAGAGAUUUCAGACCCUAAAAAAAGCUCCAAAAAUUUCAGCUAUUGUUUCAUUGGUAGCUAGUUCUACUCUCUUCUAAUUUCAUUAGCAAAAACUUAGAAAACUAUUCUCUAGGAUUUCUGAUUUUCUGAUUCGAGCAUGGAUUAAGCUGAAGCUGUGUACUGUUGUGAUUUGCUAUUGUCCUCACUUAUUUCUUGUUGAAAUCCUUACUUCACUUUUGUCUUUGUUCUUGACAUCCUUGUACCUCUAUGAACUUUUGAGUGGCAAAAUGAAGCUCCAAGCAUGUGUAUAGUCUUUAAUGUAAUAAGAAGUUGGUUCUUCAAAUGUUAAAUUUCAGUUUUCCUUAUGUAUGCUGUCAGCAAGUUAUUUAGUUUAGUAUUUCAAUUAUAGUAUGUUUAAGCAUUCUGAACCUAGUAUUCUAUUCUAUAGCUUAGUUAUUGUAUGAAUAGGCAGAUUAUUCUAGUUGCUCCAUGUACUGUUUGACAGUUUUAGAAUGCUUAAGCCAUAGUAGUUCAUUUGGUCCUUAUUAUGGGAGGCUUGAUAUGUACUGUAAGAGACAAUGUUUGAUUGCUGAGCAUAUUCAGUUAAAUGAUCUCAAAUUCCAACAUUGUUAAAGCGAUUGAAUAUUUAAGUUUAAGGUGAUUCAUGAAUAAGUUUAGGGUUCAAUCUUUUAUUGUUAGUACUAAUAGCAUGUUGAUAAAUUAAGUUUAUAAUAUGGUUGUUCAGAC
rnacentral:lncRNA from 1 species